GAAACAAUCACAUGGGUGCAGCCAACUUUUUUCAGUGCAUAAAUGUUAGCUCGAUAAUUGACGUUACUUGGGUUUAUGUUGUGUUGACGACCAUGCCUGCAAGAAAAUAAAUACCAAGAAUUAAGUUCCGAUCACUUGACAUACUGGUAAGUCAUCCUACAGUGCCUCUCGGAGACUUUACAAAAAAAAACCAUUGGGGGGAGGGGGGAUAGAGGGUGAGAGAACAUGUUAGGGGAAGAGAGAGCAUAGCCGCGAGAGCGAGACUAAUAAGCAAUAAAGGUACUUAAUGACUGGAUGAAGAAAAAACGAAAGAAAAAAUUGGAGAAAAAAAGGGUACCUAACUACGGCCAGUUACGAAAACGGAACGGGCAUAGAAAGAUUCAUCUGAAUAUAUGAGUAAAAACCUGCCUUGAUUGGAUGCUUCAUAGCGGUAGAGCUGUCAACUUUCGGCGAACUUAGAACUUGACGAACACACUGGUGGUAGACUGCAGGCUCGAAUCCGACUAGCAAAGAGCGGGAAUACGCCCCAUAGACAGCCGGAUCGGACAGCCCAAGUUGGCCGCAAGCUCGGGACGCUAGUGAUGACGUAGAAGCUCGUAGACACUAACUAUACGAGCUUUAUCUCGCCCUCUUACGUCACGCCAAAGUCUGCAACAGAGAACAAAGUCCCAUCGAUCAGUAUGGCAAUGAGGACGCGGAAUCUGACACGACGGACAGAGGGGAAAUCUGUGACACGCGUUUUACAUGGGAGCGGCAACUAUAGGGAGCGGAGAAGACGACGUGGAGUCCGCUAGAGUACCUAAGUAUAAACAGGAGAGUAUUGCCAUCUCUGUGCCACUCCCUGAUUGGUUCAUCAGUUUUAGGCUAUCAUGGAGUUCAAAAGUUGGACCAAUGUAAACAAAUCCGACCCAGAGGAAUACGUAUUAUCGGCUGAGAAAUGAAUGAUAAUCACACCCAAAGGUUAAUUUUCGGUAAAAAUAUCCAUUCAAGGUCGAUCCGAACUCAGUACAGCAGUUGAUAAUAAAAAAAAUUCUAUCACAUCCAAAAUCAUGACUACAACUUUACAGAACUUUGUGGCCAUCUUGUUUACUUACAUUGGGCCAAACUAGGAGCGGAGGGGCUGGGGUUUGUUUGCAUUGGUCCACCUUUGGGGCUCCAUGAUAGCCGACCAAUCAGAGAGCGGCACACUUUUUCUGUGGUAAAAGGAUUGAGAUGGCAAUACUCUCCCGUUCACAUGUACUCUAGUCGCCGGUAAUCCAGAACUGCGCGAAAGGUCUACGAAAAUAUUUAAGGAUUGUGCGAAAAAGGCACAAAGAUUGCGCGAAUAGAAACCUUAACACCUGCUACAGGAAUGCGCGAAUUUUAAAAUGAAGUUAAUUCAAGGUUACAAUUGGAAAAUAAACGCAUUAUUAUGUCACGUUA